AUGGGGAAAAAGAGGAAACAUGAUCAGGGAAGGGACGACGAGUCGAGCUCCUCCGAUGCCAAGCGGUACAGGUCUUGCCACUGCCAGAACAGAAGUUCAGGACUUCGGGAGCUUUUGGUUAUUGGGUGCAACCGCUGGGAGACAGCUAAAGUGGCCACGGAGGAAAAGUUCGAAAGAAAAAUUAUAAAGCUUAAGCAAAAGAGGGAAAAAGAUAAGAACAAACAUAAGGAAGAUAUCAGAAUACUCAAGGAAGAUUUCACAAUACUCAAAGAAUAUUUCAGAAUACUGAAGGAAUCUCAUGAAGAGCUCAAUUCAAAAAUCCAAGAGAUGCGAAAAGAAGGGCGUGCUGAAAUUUACCAAAUAUCAGGACAUUUAUCUAGGGCGGAGCCAGCGGCCGGCGACCCCGGGCUCUACUUGACAGUGGACGGCUAUCGUGUUUAUACUUUUACUACAUUAUUUAUAUGUGCAUUGUUGGUUUGGGAGCUUGAUGCUAUUUUAUAUGUUGUGUAUCUGAACAUCCGAUCGCAAGUAAGCCAAUCAACAAGAUUUCGACUAGUAAUUGAAAAUAAUGUGAGCAGAACAAUUUACAAAAAGGAAACUAUAGAGACCGAGGACGGCGGAGGUCACAUAAAAGUUGCCAUGUAUGAUGGCGGCAAUUGA
rnacentral:rRNA from 1 species